UACGUAGGCAGCAAGCGUUGUCCGGAAUUACUGGGCGUAAAGGGCUCGUAGGCGGCCAACUAAGUCAGACGUGAAAUCCCUCGGCUUAACCGGGGAACUGCGUCUGAUACUGGAUGGCUUGAGGUUGGGAGAGGGAUGCGGAAUUCCAGGUGUAGCGGUGAAAUGCGUAGAUAUCUGGAGGAACACCGGUGGCGAAGGCGGCAUCCUGGACCAAUUCUGACGCUGAGGAGCGAAAGCCAGGGGAGCAAACGGG
rnacentral:rRNA from 1 species